rnacentral:lncRNA from 1 species
UAUUUGAAUGCUUUCCUUUGUGUCAGCCUAACUUCCGGCAAGUUGUGACUUCUUUAUUUCUUAGAAGAACAAAAAACAAUAUUGGGUAAAAUCCUAUAAGACUGUGUAUCUCUGAAGUACAGGAUAAUUUUAUGUACUUUCUUUUUUUUUUUUUGGUCUUUUUGUCUUUUUAGGGCCGCACCCGUGGCAUAUGGAGGUUCCCAGGCUAGGGGUCCAAUCGGAGCUAUAGCCACUGGCCUACGCCAGAGCCACAGCAACGCGGGAUCCAAGCCGAGUCUGCAACCUACACCACAACAGCUCAGGGCAAUGCCGGAUCGUUAACCCACUGAGCAAGGGCAGGGACCGAACCCGCAACCUUAUGGUUCCUAGUCAGAUUCGUUAACCACUGCUCUAAGACGGGAACUCCCCUGAUAAUUUCUUGUUUAAGAAAUCUGUGACAGAAGCAAGAAGGCUGUUUUCAGUUUUUUUUCCUUUUUUUGAUUGAGGUGUACUUGACAUACAGCAUUUCGUUAGUUUCAGGUAUACAACAUAAUCACUUGAUAUUUCUGUACAUUGGGAAAUUAUCACCUCAAUAAAUUUCAUUAACAUUCAUCACCAUACAUAGUUACAGUUUUUUUUUUUUUUCUUAAAAUUGUAAAGAGUUGUCAUUCUUAGUUUAUUGGAUUUCCUUUCUUAUUUGGAGAAUCAAUCUUUCUUUCUUUAGUCACGUCUUUUUACGGCUACAUCUCAGCGUAUGGAAGUGCCCAGGCUAGGGGUUGAAUCAGAGCUGCCGGCCUACACCACAGCCACAGCAACACAAGCUGAGUUUGCAACCUACACUACAGCUCACAGCAAUGCUGGAUCUCCAACCGACUGAGUGAAGCCAGGGAUCGAAUCCGAAUCCUCAUGGAUACUAGUUGGAUUCGUUUCCGUUGUGACAUUGCCAUGACGGGAAAUCCCAAACUUUCAUUUUUGAAUUGAACAUGUUAGCAAAAGCAUUGAUAUGAGUUUUCUUCCCAUGGUUCUUUGCUUACUUUUUUCUUCAAGGAGACAAAGGGAAGUCCUGGAAGAUGCAUUUCCUGUUUUAAAAAAGACAGCUUCCUCAUUUGUCGGUUCUCUGAGCUCUAGUCUCUAAUGUAACUCCUAUAUUAUAGCUAUUUUUCCAAUGAUCUUAAGGUUAUAAAAUGAUCAUUUGCAUAAGUAUCCUUAUCUCUUUGUAAGCUGCUUUAUUAUUUUUUUUUAUUUUUUUUUUUUUUAGUAUUUUUUUAAGCUGCUUGAGGCUGGCAUGCAGCAUCCUUCAGCAUAAGUGCUUUUCCGUACUUAUUUGACAAGUGAAUGAAUCUGAACUCCACCAUCAACUGCCCUGUCUAUAUUCUUCCGUACUAGUAAGCUGACAGACUCUUCUUCACAGACUGGUUUCCUCACCCUUUUCCCUGACUUGCUCAUUCCCAUCUCUGUGCCUUUGCAGUGAUUAUUUUCUUUUCUCCUACUGAAAUUUACCCCUGUUUCGUGCCCUGGUUGAUGUCCUUUUUGUCAUGAAACCAGCUGACUACUUUAGUCCUUAUUAAUCUCUUCUAUUUUUAGGCUAUUGUAUUCAGUAACCAUUAAGACUUAACUGAUUGGCUAUUUCUUUGUUUCAUUUAAGUUAUUUUGCCUCCUUGUUAGACUUUAGAUUUUCUGGGUAUAGGGACAAGGUUUCAACCUUUUGGAACAUGUAAGAUGCUCAGUAUAUCAAUAUAUCAAUAAAGAUGUAUUGAGCACAUUUAUUAACGAGAUCUGUUGAGAGGGUGAGAGAUGCAUAGAAGGCAGAUUUCUGCUUUCAAGGAGCUUUCAAUCCAGUAAUUUCUAACAAAUAGCUAUUUGGGUUUUAAAUUUAAUUUUUAAAUAUUAAUUUUUAAGUAAUUAUCUCUUGAGCACUUAAAGACAUUUUCCCCUCCUAUUUGAGUGAUAAGAUAGCCUUUAAACAUCCCUCUAUGAAAUGAUUCUGGGAAAAUGGCAGCUUGAGCACAUCUCUUCUGUCCUCUCUUUUUUUAAACUCAGUUCAAGUAAAAUAACAGUUUCAAAGCUUAGAACAAAAAUACCAAGAGUUGGAAUGGAAACUCAUGAAAGUUGGGCUUGCAGGAUAGAUCCAGGAAACCAAAAAUGCAAAUAAUAAUAAUUUUAGAAGGAGAAAUAAGUAAUAGAAAAAAUUUCCCUGAGUCGAACAAAAAUUGAAGAUUGAAUGAGUUCACUGGGUUCCAGACAAAAUUGAUGAGAAAAGUCACAAAGCUAGGCAUGUUCUGAUAAAAUUCCUGAAUUCAGUGAUAAAGGAAAAAAAAUCCCACAAGCUCCUUGAUAGAAAGAUAAAGAUGUAAAGAGGAUUUCCCAUUGUGGCUCAGUGGUGACAAACCUGACUAGUGUCCCUGAGGACAUGAAUUCUAUCCCUGGCCUCACUCAGUGGGUUAAGGAUCCGGCGUUUCCGCGAGCUGUGGUGUAGGUCGCAGACAGGGGUCGGAUCUUGUGGUGCUGUGGUGGCUGUAGUGUAGGCUGACAGCUAUGCUCUGAUUCGACCCCUAGUGUGGUAACUUCCAUAUGCCGUGGGUGUGGCCCUAAAAAGACAG